rnacentral:lncRNA from 1 species
UUCUUUUAUCUUUUUAUUUUUUCCAUCUUUAUGGAUAACUUAAACUCCAUACCUAUUAUUGAAUUUUUUGCACCUUCGGAGACCAGCCAUAGACCAUGGGAGUCAACAAGUCCUGCCCCUAAUUAUGAUCAGUGUCCGGAGUUGAUUGCAAUAGGUCAAAACCAACCCUUUUCUAUAGCCGAGGUCGUAUCUUUUAAUCAAGAAGGUAAUGAAAUUUUAGCUACACCUAGGGAAUCUUUUAAUCUUUCU